UGCACUUCCAAGCAAAUUGAUUGAGAGAGAGCUGAGAGAGUAAAGUGAGGAGAAGAGCUGUUGGUUUACAUUCUUUUUCCUAUCACUGCAAGUCACGAAAUAGAUAUAGAGGGAUUCAAGGGGCUGCCUAAUCCUCAAUUCAACUCCAAAGUAGAAACAAUGUGCCAAGCCAAGGGGUCCAUUCCUUUCGGCCUUACAAACUCCACAACCAAGUUUACAUCGCGAGGCACUCGAGAUAGUGAAACAGCAGAGCGGGGCGAAAGACAGUGCUUGAGAAGGACGCACACUGGCCCAUGGUAAGGGCCACGUGGAACGAGAUACGUCUGUGUUAAUAGUACAUAGAAUACGACGUGGUUCCUGUUGUUGUAGAUGAGUAUAGAGAGAGUUAGAGGAGUAGGGCUUCUUUGCCUUAGGAUGCAUAUCUCAUGUUUCGAUGGAAUGUAGGUGGAAAAAGUUUCAAAAAGGAAGGGUAGUCGAUUAGGUAAAAAGAUUGGUAGAGUGUUGUUCCCAACUCCCAAAGUGUCGUGUUUCUCAUGAUCGUAUUCGUGUUCGUGUUGACAUAAAAUAGAUUACAGUUUAUUUACAUUGUUUGUGAGUUACUUUUUCUGUUUUUGCUGCCUUCUUCAAAGAUCUUAUGAUCA